rnacentral:rRNA from 1 species
CCUACGGGACGCACCAGUAGGGAAUCUUCGGCAAUGGACGAAAGUCUGACCGAGCAACGCCGCGUGAGUGAAGAAGGUUUUCGGAUCGUAAAACUCUGUUGUUGGAGAAGAACAAGGAUGAGAAGAGAAUGCUCAUCCCUUGACGGUAUCUAACCAGAAAGCCACGGCUAACUACGUGCCAGCAGCCGCGGUAAUACGUAGGUGGCAAGCGUUGUCCGGAUUUAUUGGGCGUAAAGCGAGCGCAGGCGGUUCUUUAAGUCUGAUGUGAAAGCCCACGGCUCAACCGUGGAGGGUCAUUGGAAACUGGGGGACUUGAGUGCAGAAGAGGAGAGCGGAAUUCCACGUGUAGCGGUGAAAUGCGUAGAGAUGUGGAGGAACACCAGUGGCGAAGGCGGCUCUCUGGUCUGUAACUGACGCUGAGGCGCGAAAGCGUGGGGAGCAAACAGGAUUAGAUACCCGGGUAGUC